CAGACAGCCCUGGAGACUGAAGUCUUCUGUUAUUCCUGACGAAAGAUACAGAAUGAGUGGUUGCCGUGCAAGCUUCCCAUACAUUGCCCCAAUCUCCACUGGCAUUCCUGACCCGGGAGAUGUGACCUCUCGUGGGACAUGAUAACUCAGUCUCCAUGGACCAUUCAGUCCUCGGCCUAU
rnacentral:sRNA from 1 species